GCAGCUUGCUGCUUUGCUGACGAGUGGCGGACGGGUGAGUAAUGUCUGGGAAACUGCCCGAUGGAGGGGGAUAACUACUGGAAACGGUAGCUAAUACCGCAUAAUGUCGCAAGACCAAAGAGGGGGACCUUCGGGCCUCUUGCCAUCGGAUGUGCCCAGAUGGGAUUAGCUUGUUGGUGAGGUAACGGCUCACCAAGGCGACGAUCCCUAGCUGGUCUGAGAGGAUGACCAGCCACACUGGAACUGAGACACGGUCCAGACUCCUACGGGAGGCAGCAGUGGGGAAUAUUGCACAAUGGGCGCAAGCCUGAUGCAGCCAUGCCGCGUGUAUGAAGAAGGCCUUCGGGUUGUAAAGUACUUUCAGCGGGGAGGAAGGGGUUAAGGUUAAUAACCUUAGCCAUUGA
rnacentral:rRNA from 1 species